CCCAGCGCGAUGCGCUGGGCUAACAUCUUGUGCUCUUUCAGAGCU
rnacentral:sRNA from 1 species